GGGAUGACGGAUUAAAAGGGAACCCUGUGAGAAUCAGGGACUAUCCCCGUAGCUGUAAGUUCCAUUUGUGGAGUGUAUCUCUUUAGCCACUGUCGUUUCAGCGAUGGGAAGGCAUACCCUCCGGAACAAGUCAGAAGACCUGCCUGCGCCUCA
rnacentral:ncRNA from 1 species